GACGAACGCUGGCGGCGUGCCUAAUACAUGCAAGUCGAGCGGAGUUUUUAAAAGCUUGCUUUUAAAAACUCAGCGGCGGACGGGUGAGUAACACGUGGGCAACCUGCCCUGUAGACUGGGAUAACUUCGGGAAACCGAAGCUAAUACCGGAUAAUCAUAGAAGUUGCAUAGCUUCUAUGUAAAAGUUGGGUUUACCUAACACUACAGGAUGGGCCCGCGUCGCAUUAGCUAGUUGGUAAGGUAACGGCUUACCAAGGCGACGAUGCGUAGCCGACCUGAGAGGGUGAUCGGCCACACUGGGACUGAGACACGGCCCAGACUCCUACGGGAGGCAGCAGUAGGGAAUCUUCCGCAAUGGACGAAAGUCUGACGGAGCAACGCCGCGUGAGCGAUGAAGGCCUUCGGGUCGUAAAGCUCUGUUGUUAGGGAAGAACAAGUGCUAUUUCGAAUAGGGUGGCACC
rnacentral:rRNA from 1 species